UCACUCAGCUUUGACAAUCUAGGCACCUUUCACCUGUUCGAGUUGUAAUUUGAAGAAGGUAUCUUUGGAGUUGGCCCCCGUCUAUGUUCCUUGGAACAGGACGUCACAGAGGGUGAGAAUCCCGUGCGAUGGGGAGACCAAUUCUAUGUAAAGUUCCUUCGAAGAGUCGAGUUGUUUGGGAAUGCAGCUCUAAGUGGGUGGUAAAUUCCAUCUAAAGCUAAAUAUUGGCGAGAGACCGAUAGCGAACAAGUACAGUGAUGGAAAGAUGAAAAGAACUUUGAAAAGAGAGUGAAAGAGUACGUGAAAUUGUUGAAAGGGAAGGGCUUUUGAUCAGACUUGGUGUUUAGUACUCUCUACUCAUUGUGGGUGGGGCUCUUGCAUCAUAGUGGGCCAUCAUCGGAUGGAUGGAAUGAAAUACAUGGAUAGUAGUUAAAUAAAGAAGAGUAACCGACACGAUACUGUUCGAAUCAAGAAGGAAGAUUAGUCAUAUGCUAUGGAAGUCGAAAGGGCUGAAAAAAAUGU
rnacentral:rRNA from 1 species